AAAGGAGGCGUCCAAAGGGAUCGCAUUGAUCCCAUUUCAAUUUCUGUUUAUUAAUUCAAGAAACUGAAUUUGGAUCAUGCUAUCCCUUUGGACUCCUCCUU
rfam:Nicotiana attenuata strain TT chromosome 5, whole genome shotgun sequence.